rnacentral:rRNA from 1 species
UGGGGAAUAUUGGACAAUGGGGGCAACCCUGAUCCAGCAAUUCUGUGUGCACGAUGAAGGUUUUCGGAUUGUAAAGUGCUUUCAGCAGGGAAGAAAAAAAUGACGGUACCUGCAGAAGAAGCGACGGCUAAAUACGUGCCAGCAGCCGCGGUAAUACGUAUGUCGCAAGCGUUAUCCGGAAUUAUUGGGCAUAAAGGGCAUCUAGGCGGCCAGAUAAGUCUGGGGUGAAAACUUGCGGCUCAACCGCAAGCCUGCCCUGAAAACUAUGUGGCUAGAGUACUGGAGAGGUGGACGGAACUGCACGAGUAGAGGUGAAAUUCGUAGAUAUGUGCAGGAAUGCCGAUGAUGAAGAUAGUUCACUGGACGGUAACUGACGCUGAAGUGCGAAAGCUAGGGGAGCAAACAGGAUUAGAUACCCUGGUAGUCCUAGCUGUAAACGAUGAUUACUGGGUGUGGGCAUGAAGAGUGUCCGUGCCGAAGCUAAUGCGAUAAGUAAUCCGCCUGGGGAGUACGGCCGCAAGGCU